rnacentral:rRNA from 1 species
UACCGAGGGUGCGAGCGUUGUUCGGAAUUACUGGGCGUAAAGCGCGCGCAGGCGGCCUUUUACGUCUCGUGGUGAAAUGCCGGGGCUCAACCCCGUGCCCGCCGGAGAUACUGGGAGGCUGGAGACAUGUAGAGGCAAGCGGAAUUCCGGGUGUAGCGGUGGAAUGCGUAGAGAUCCGGAAGAACACCGGAGGCGAAGGCGGCUUGCUGGGCAUUGUCUGACGCUGAGGCGCGAAAGCGUGGGGAGCGAACAGG